rnacentral:sRNA from 4 species
AGGUAGCACGCGUGCACUCCGGUUCCUGUGCGCCGUCCACGUCCACUUGACGGUGACUGGCUAAGGUUUGUUCGCC